rnacentral:rRNA from 1 species
GAGUUUGAUCCUGGCUCAGAUUGAACGCUGGCGGCAUGCUUUACACAUGCAAGUCGAACGGUAACAGGGAGCUUGCUCCGCUGACGAGUGGCGAACGGGUGAGUAAUGCGUCGGAACGUGCCGAGUAGUGGGGGAUAACGCAUCGAAAGGUGUGCUAAUACCGCAUACGAACUGAGGUUGAAAGUGGGGGACCUUCGGGCCUCACGCUAUUCGAGCGGCCGACGUCUGAUUAGCUAGUAGGUGAGGUAAAGGCUCACCUAGGCGACGAUCAGUAGCGGGUCUGAGAGGAUGAUCCGC